CCUUCGGGUUAGUGGCGGACGGGUGAGUAACGCGUGAGAAUUUGCCUUUAGGAGGAGAACAACAAUUAGAAAUGAUUGCUAAUGCUCCAUAUGCUUUUAUAGUGAAAUGAAUUAUUAUUCGCCUAAAGAAAAGCUCGCGUCUGAUUAGCUAGUUGGUAAGGUAAUAGCUUACCAAGGCGACGAUCAGUAGCUGGUUUGAGAGGAUGAUCAGCCACAUUGGAACUGAGAUACGGUCCAGACUCC
rnacentral:rRNA from 1 species